rnacentral:rRNA from 1 species
CGUGGGGGGGAGGGCCCUACACAUGCAAGUCGAGCGGUAACAGGGGUAGCUUGCUACCCGCUGACGAGCGGCGGACGGGUGAGUAAUGCAUAGGAAUCUGCCCGAUAGUGGGGGAUAACCUGGGGAAACCCAGGCUAAUACCGCAUACGUCCUACGGGAGAAAGGGGGCUCCGGCUCCCGCUAUUGGAUGAGCCUAUGUCGGAUUAGCUAGUUGGUGAGGUAAAGGCUCACCAAGGCGACGAUCCGUAACUGGUCUGAGAGGAUGAUCAGCCACAUCGGGACUGAGACACGGCCCUAACUCCUACGGGAGGCAACGGUGGGGA